UCUCACACCUUGAACACAAGUUAUCCCUUAUCUACUCCUGUCCUUCAAAGAUCCACUAGAACCAUAUCUACUCCUUCUUGGUUAAAGGACCAUCACCUUUCUCUACCUUCUACACAGGCCACCCCUCAUAGUCUUGCUUCUAUUCUUUCUUAUUCCCAUUUACAGCCCCAUCACAAAGCUUUCUUUGUUGCAAUAAUUGAACUUACAGAAUCCAUGAGUUAAAAUGAUGCUAUCAAACAUGAAUGCUGAAAAACGACAAUGCAGGCAGAAAUUGAUGCAUUACAAAUGAAUCAUACUUGGGAGUUAGUUUAUUUGUUCGCCUGGUAGCUAAAGGUUGUACUCAAUAAUCAGGCAUUGAUUACAUUGACACCUUCUCGCCGGUAGCCAAGAUGACUACUAUUCAACAAUUACUAGCUUUGGCUGUUAUUAACAAUUCGCAUCUUCAUCAGUUGAACAUUAUCAACACUUUUCUUCAUGGUAAUCUUCAAGAAGAGGUAUCAAGACUGCCCACUCGGAUUCUUCCUUGUUUAUUAAGUCUACUGGCUCACAUUUUAUUGCUCUUCUCAUUUACGUGGAUGAUGUUAUUCUCCUAAGCAAUAAUAUGUCUUGAAAUUGAUGCCGUGAAAAGGUUUCUUGAUGAUUCUUUUAGAAUCAAAAAUCUCGGCCCUUUGAAGUUCUUCCUUGGCCUUAAGGUUGCUCACUCAUCUAAGGGUAUUAACCUUUGUCAAUGUAAGUAUGCUCUAGAUAUUUUUAGUGAUACUGGUUUUUUAGGCUCUAAGCCUGCCUCUUCUCCAAUGGCCUUCUUGAAGACUCCACUAUGUAUAGGCAUUUGGUUGGUCAUCUUUUAUAUCUCACCACCACUAGGCCCAAUAUUGCAUAUGUUGUCCAACAGUUGUCUCAGUAUCUUGAUAAGCCAACUCAGGAUCAUCUCUUUGCUGCUCACGGUGUUCUAAGAUAUAUUAAAGAUGCUCUUGGAUAAGGUUUAUUUUUCUCUUCUUCUUCUGCUGUUCAGCUCAAUGCUUUCUCCGAUUCUGAGUGGGUGACUUGUCCUAAUACUCGCAAGUCAAUCACUGGUUUCUGUGUGUUUAUGUUGGCAUGGAGCAGAAGUUUUUUUUUUCUUGUUCU